rnacentral:rRNA from 1 species
CUGGAGGUAUCAGAAGUGCGAAUGCUGACAUAAGUAACGAUAAAGCGGGUGAAAAGCCCGCUCGCCGGAAGACCAAGGGUUCCUGUCCAACGUUAAUCGGGGCAGGGUGAGUCGACCCCUAAGGCGAGGCCGAAAGGCGUAGUCGAUGGGAAACAGGUUAAUAUUCCUGUACUUGGUGUUACUGCGAAGGGGGGACGGAGAAGGCUAUGUUAGCCGGGCGA